rnacentral:rRNA from 1 species
AUACGGAGGGUGCAAGCGUUAAUCGGAAUUACUGGGCGUAAAGCGUACGUAGGCGGUUCGUUAAGUUAGAUGUGAAAGCCCCGGGCUUAACCUGGGAACUGCAUUUAAAACUGGCGAACUAGAGUUGAGUUGAGGGGAGUGGAAUUUCAGGUGUAGCGGUGAAAUGCGUAGAGAUCUGAAGGAACACCAGUGGCGAAGGCGACUCCCUGGACUCGAACUGACGCUGAGGUACGAAAGCGUGGGUAGCAAACGGGAUUAGAAACCCUAGUAGUCC